AGCAGCCGCGGUAAUUCCAGCUCCAAUAGCGUAUAUUAAAGUUGUUGCAGUUAAAAAGCUCGUAGUUGAAUUUCGGGGUUCCACCGUUGGUCGGGCAAUAGUCUGUACUGGCGUGUGGAAUUUCUACCUUCUGGGGAACCAUCAUGUUAUUUAUUUAGCGUGGUGGGAAACCAGGACCUUUACCUUGAAAAAAUUAGAGUGUUCAAAGCAGGCUUACGUCUGAAUACAUUAGCAUGGAAUAAUAAAAUAGGACGGUGGUCCUGUUUUGUUGGUUUCUGAAUCACCGUAAUGAUUAAUAGGGAUAGUUGGGGGCAUUAGUAUUCAAUUGUCAGAGGUGAAAUUCUUGGAUUUAU
rnacentral:rRNA from 1 species